GUGACCUUUUAAGGUAGACACUGUUUUUUAAGAGGUUAACACAGAAUGGUAAAGUAAGUCUCCAUAAACGCGCAUAGAAAGAAGACAGAAGAGACUGUGAAACUCCUCUCUGGACGCCGUCUGGAGUCAUAGCA
rnacentral:snoRNA from 1 species